rnacentral:rRNA from 1 species
ACGCUCGACACCUACGGGGGGCAGCAGUAGGGAAUCUUCCACAAUGGGCGCAAGCCUGAUGGAGCAACACCGCGUGAGUGAAGAAGGGUUUCGGCUCGUAAAGCUCUGUUGUUGGAGAAGAACGUGCGUGAGAGUAACUGUUCACGCAGUGACGGUAUCCAACCAGAAAGUCACGGCUAACUACGUGCAGCAGCCGCGGUAAUCUGAGCGGGCUGGCAAGGC